UUUUUAAUUGAAGUCUUGUAUGAAUGGCUGGAUAAAAGAAUAACUGUCUUUGUGUUUUACAUUGAAUUUAACUUUUAAGUGAAAAGGCUUAAAUAAUUUAAGAAGACGAUAAGACCCUAUAAAAUUUUACAUUUAGUUAAAAUUUAUUGAAUUUUUAAUAAUGAUUUAGUUUGGUAUUUUGUUUUGUUGGGGCGACAAUAGCAAAAUGGUUGAUAACUGCUAAAAGGCUUAAACAUUUGUUGGUGGGUAUAUAGUAGAUCCUUUAUUAAGAUUAAUAGAGUAAGUUACUUUAGGGAUAACAGCGUUAUUUUUUUUGAGAGUUCUUAUCGAAAAAAAAGAUUGCGACCUCGAUGUUGAAUUAAGAUAUCUAUAUAAUGCAGCUGUUAUAUAAGAAGGUCUGUUCGACCUUUAAAUUUUUA
rnacentral:rRNA from 1 species